rnacentral:rRNA from 1 species
UACGAAGGGGGCUAGCGUUGCUCGGAAUCACUGGGCGUAAAGCGCACGUAGGCGGAUUGCUAAGUCAGGGGUGAAAUCCUGGAGCUCAACUCCAGAACUGCCUUUGAUACUGGCGAUCUUGAGUCAGGGAGAGGUGAGUGGAACUGCGAGUGUAGAGGUGAAAUUCGUAGAUAUUCGCAAGAACACCAGUGGCGAAGGCGGCUCACUGGCCCGGUACUGACGCUGAGGUGCGAAAGCGUGGGGAGCAAACAGG